rnacentral:rRNA from 1 species
UAAGGAAUAUUGCUCAAUGGGAGAAAUCCUGAAGCAGCAACGCCGCGUGGAGGAUGAAGGGUUUUUAACUUGUAAACUCCUGUAAAGAAGGAAAAAAUUCCCAUUAGAUGGGAAAUGAUGGUACUUCUGGAGUAAGCCCCGGCUAACUACGUGCCAGCAGCCGCGGUAAUACGUAGGGGGCAAGCGUUGUCCGGAUUUACUGGGUGUAAAGGGUGCUCAGGCGGAUUUGUAAGUCAGAGGUGAAAUCUCACAGCUUAACUGUGAAACUGCCUUUGAUACUGCAAGCCUAGAGUAUGGAAGAGAGUGAUGGAAUAUCUGGUGUAGCAGUGAAAUGCGUAGAUAUCGGAUAGAACACCAAUGGCGAAGGCAGUCACUUGGUCCAUAACUGACGCUAAAGCACGAAAAGCGUGGGUAGCAAAACAGGAUUAGAUACCCUGGUAGUCCACGCCCUAAACGAUGAAUACUAGAUGUUGGCUUCGCAUGAAGUCAGUAUCUGAGCUAACGCAUUAAGUAUUCCACCUGGAAGUACGAUCGCAAGGUUGAAACUUAAAGGAAUUGAC